AGUGAACGCUGGCGGUAGGCCUAACACAUGCAAGUCGAACGGCAGCACAGUAAGAGCUUGCUCUUACGGGUGGCGAGUGGCGGACGGGUGAGGAAUACAUCGGAAUCUACUUUUUCGUGGGGGAUAACGUAGGGAAACUUACGCUAAUACCGCAUACGACCUACGGGUGAAAGCAGGAGAUCUUCGGACCUUGCGCGACUGAAUGAGCCGAUGUCGGAUUAGCUAGUUGGCGGGGUAAAGGCCCACCAAGGCGACGAUCCGUAGCUGGUCUGAGAGGAUGAUCAGCCACACUGGAACUGAGACACGGUCCAGACUCCUACGGGAGGCAGCAGUGGGGAAUAUUGGACAAUGGGCGCAAGCCUGAUCCAGCAAUACCGCGUGGGUGAAGAAGGCCUUCGGGUUGUAAAGCCCUUUUGUUGGGAAAGAAAAGCAGCAGGUUAAUACCCCGCUGUUCUGACGGUACCCAAAGAAUAAGCACCGGCUAACUUCGUG
rnacentral:rRNA from 1 species